AUGGCUAGUCAGGUGGAUGAAGAAGCGCCCAAGGGUCCGGGAGUUGAUAGUACCAUCGAUCUACUAGAUCGCCUAACCCUGCAGGAGGAUGAACUUGAUGAUUUGGUUUGGGAAGAUGAGAUUGAUACAGAGGAAGUCAGACCAAAGUGGCUUGCGAUUGGACGCCUUCUGACGACCAAAUCGUUUAGUCAGAGCGCUCUCAUUGGUGACAUGCGUGCGGCAUGGAAUCCAGCAAAUGAAGUAAUUUGGAGGAGGAUAAAUCCUAACCUCUACUCUAUCCAAUUCAACUGCUUGGGUGAUUGGAACAAGGCCAUGCAUCAGGGCCCCUGGGAUUUCAAAGGUCAUGCUUUAAUUCUUGUUGAGUAUGAUGGUUUCUCCAAGCCAGAAAAGGUAAAACUUGAUCGGUUGGAAACCUGCGCGCAAAUUCACAAACUGCCAGAUGGAGUUCUGAAAAACAAAAGCUUUCUGGAAAACCUGGCGAGUCGCAUUGGCGAAGUACAAGCGGUCUAG
rnacentral:rRNA from 1 species